CUCUGGGUCCAACCUCCCACCCGUGUUUAUUUUACCUUGUUGCUUCGGCGGGCCCGCCUUAACUGGCCGCCGGGGGGCUUACGCCCCCGGGCCCGCGCCCGCCGAAGACACCCUCGAACUCUGUCUGAAGAUUGUAGUCUGAGUGAAAAUAUAAAUUAUUUAAAACUUUCAACAACGGAUCUCUUGGUUCCGGCAUCGAUGAAGAACGCAGCGAAAUGCGAUACGUAAUGUGAAUUGCAAAUUCAGUGAAUCAUCGAGUCUUUGAACGCACAUUGCGCCCCCUGGUAUUCCGGGGGGCAUGCCUGUCCGAGCGUCAUUUCUGCCCUCAAGCACGGCUUGUGUGUUGGGCCCCGUCCUCCGAUCCCGGGGGACGGGCCCGAAAGGCAGCGGCGGCACCGCGUCCGGUCCUCGAGCGUAUGGGGCUUUGUCACCCGCUCUGUAGGCCCGGCCGGCGCUUGCCGAUCAACCCAAAUUUUUAUCCAGGUUGACCUCGGAUCAGGUAGGGAUACCCGCUGAACUUAAGCAUAUCAAU
rnacentral:rRNA from 1 species